rnacentral:rRNA from 1 species
CUAUAACGGUCCUAAGGUAGCGAAAUUCCUUGUCGGGUAAGUUCCGACCUGCACGAAUGGUGUAACCAUGGCCACGCUGUCUCCACCCGAGACUCAGUGAAAUUGAAAUCGCUGUGAAGAUGCAGUGUACCCGCGGCUAGACGGAAAGACCCCGUGAACCUUUACUACAGCUUGGCACUGAACAUUGAACCUACAUGUGUAGGAUAGGUGGGAGACUAUGAAAUUGCGUCGCUAGAUGUGAUGGAGUCGUCCUUGAAAUACCACCCUUGUAGUUUUGAUGUUCUAACGUUGGUCCCUGAAUCGGGGUUACGGACAGUGCCUGGUGGGUAGUUUGACUGGGGCGGUCUCCUCCCAAAGAGUAACGGAGGAGCACGAAGGUUGGCUAAACACGGUUGGACAUCGUGUGGUUAGUGCAAUGGCAUAAGCCCGCUUGACUGCGAGAAUGACAAUUCGAGCAGGUGCGAAAGCAGGUCAUAGUGAUCCGGUGGUUCUGAAUGGAAGGGCCAUCGCUCAACGGAUAAAAGGUACUCCGGGGAUAACAGGCUGAUACCGCCCAAGAGUUCAUAUCGACGGCGGUGUUUGGCACCUCGAUGUCGGCUCAUCACAUCCUGGGGCUGAAGUCGGUCCCAAGGGUAUGGCUGUUCGCCAUUUAAAGUGGUACGCGAGCUGGGUUUAGAACGUCGUGAGACAGUUCGGUCCCUAUCUGCCGUGGGCGUUGGAAAAUUGAAAGGGGCUGCUCCUAGUACGAGAGGACCGGAGUGGACGAACCUCUGGUGUUCGGGUUGUCAUGCCAAUGGCAUUGCCCGGUAGCUACGUUCGGAAUCGAUAAGCGCUGAAAGCAUCUAAGCGCGAAGCGAGCCUUGAGAUGAGUUUUCCCUGGCACUAUAAGUGUCCUAAAGGGUUGUCGUAGACUACGACGUUGAUAGGCAGGGUGUGUAAGUGCUGCGAGGCAUUGAGCUAACCUGUACUAAUUGCCCGUGAGGCUUAACCAUACAACACCCAAGGGGUUU